GACGAACGCUGGCGGCGUGCUUAACACAUGCAAGUCGAACGGAAAGGCCCUGCUUUUGUGGGGUGCUCGAGUGGCGAACGGGUGAGUAACACGUGAGUAACCUGCCCUUGACUUUGGGAUAACUUCAGUAAACUGGGGCUAAUACCGGAUAGGAGCUCCUGCUGCAUGGUGGGGGUUGGAAAGUUUCGGCGGUUGGGGAUGGACUCGCGGCUUAUCAGCUUGUUGGUGGGGUAGUGGCUUACCAAGGCUUUGACGGGUAGCCGGCCUGAGAGGGUGACCGGCGACAUUGGGACUGAGAUACGGCCCAGACUCCUACGGGAGGCAGCAGUGGAGAAUAUUGCACAAUGGGCGGGAGCCUGAUGCAGCAACGCCGCGUGCGGGAUGACGGCCUUCGGGUUGUAAACCGCUUUCGCCUGUGACGAAGCGUGAGUGACGGUAAUGGGUAAAGAAGCACCGGCUAACUACGUG
rnacentral:rRNA from 1 species